AGCUAUAGCUGUCCCAACCACCAUUAAGGUCCCUGAUCUACGAAGCUAAGCAGGGUCGGGCCAGGUUAAUACUUGGAUGGGAUUCUACCUGGGAAUACUAAGUGCUGUAGGCU
rnacentral:rRNA from 1 species